rnacentral:rRNA from 1 species
ACUGUCCAGACUAAGCCAUGCAUGUCUAAGUAUAAGUGUUAUACAGCGAAACUGCGAAUGGCUCAUUAAAACAGUUAUAGUUUAUUUGACAAUCGAAUUUACAUGGAUAACCGUGGUAAUUCUAGAGCUAAUACAUGCUGGUGUGCCCGACUUUUCGGAAGGGCGGUAUUUAUUAGAUAACAAGCCAAUAUUCCUCUGGUCUAUUGUGGUGACUCAUAAUAACUGAUCGAAUCGCAAGGCCUAUGGCCGCGAUAAGUCAUUCAAGUUUCUGCCCCAUCAGCUUUCGAUGGUAGUGUAUUGGACUACCAUGGCGUUUACGGGUAACGGAGGAUUAGGGUUCGAUUCCGGAGAGGGAGCCUGAGAAACGGCUACCACAUCUAAGGAAGGCAGCAGGCGCGUAAAUUACCCAAUCCUGAUUCAGGGAGGUAGUGACAAGAAAUAACGGACCGAGGCCUUCGGGCUUCGGGAUUGCAAUGAGCCGAAUUUACACCCCUUAGCGA